UACGUAGGGGGCGAGCGUUGUUCGGAAUUACUGGGUGUAAAGGGUUCGUAGGCGGUGCGGCAAGUCGGGAGUGAAAUCUCUGGGCUCAACCCAGAGGCUGCUUCCGAAACUGCUGUGCUUGAGUGUGGGAGAGGCGCGUGGAAUUGCAGGUGUAGCGGUGAAAUGCGUAGAUAUCUGCAGGAACACCCGUGGCGAAAGCGGCGCGCUGGACCACUACUGACGCUGAAGAACGAAAGCUAGGGGAGCAAACAGG
rnacentral:rRNA from 1 species